rnacentral:rRNA from 1 species
CGUAGCCACGGUAAUACGUAGGGUGCGAGCGUUAGUCGGAAUUACUGGGCGUAAAGCGUGCGCAGGCGGUUUUGUGAGACAGGCGUGAAAUCCCCGGGCUCAACCUGGGAAUGGCGCUUGUGACUGCAAAGCUAGAGUGCGGCAGAGGGGGAUGGAAUUCCGCGUGUAGCAGUGAAAUGCGUAGAUAUGCGGAGGAACACCGAUGGCGAAGGCAAUCCCCUGGGCCUGCACUGACGCUCAUGCACGAAAGCGUGGGGAGCAAACAGGAUUAGAUACCCCCGUAGUCCCUGUCUCUUAUACA